rnacentral:rRNA from 1 species
AUCGAACGCUGGCGGCAGGCCUAACACAUGCAAGUCGAACGAGCGGCGGACGGGUGAGUAAUGUAUGGGGACUGCCCGAUAGAGGGGGAUAACUAUUGGAAACGGUAGCUAAUACCGCAUACUAUCGGAUAACCCAUAUGGGAUUAGCUAGUCGGUUAGGUAAUGGAGCACCGAGGCGACGAUCCCUAGCUGGUCUGAGAGGAUGAUCAGCCACACUGGGACUGAGACACGGCCCAGACUCCUACGGAGGCAGCAGUGGGGAAGAUUGCACAAUGGGCGCAAGCCUGAUGCAGCCAUGCCGCGUGUAUGAAGAAGGCCCUAGGGUUGUAAAGUACUUUCAGUCGGGAGGCGUUACCGACAGAAGAAGCACCGGCUAACUCCGUGCCAGCAGCCGCGGUAAUUC